rnacentral:rRNA from 1 species
UUGACGGUACCUAAUCAGAAAGCCACGGCUAACUACGUGCCAGCAGCCGCGGUAAUACGUAGGUGGCAAGCGUUAUCCGGAAUUAUUGGGCGUAAAGCGCGCGUAGGCGGUUUCUUAAGUCUGAUGUGAAAGCCCACGGCUCAACCGUGGAGGGUCAUUGGAAACUGGGAGACUUGAGUGCAGAAGAGGAAAGUGGAAUUCCAUGUGUAGCGGUGAAAUG